rnacentral:rRNA from 1 species
UACGUAGGGUGCAAGCGUUGUCCGGAAUUAUUGGGCGUAAAGAGCUCGUAGGCGGUCUGUCGCGUCUGCUGUGAAAACUCAGGGCUUAACCCUGAGCUUGCAGUGGGUACGGGCAGACUAGAGUGCGGUAGGGGAGACUGGAAUUCCUGGUGUAGCGGUGAAAUGCGCAGAUAUCAGGAGGAACACCGGUGGCGAAGGCGGGUCUCUGGGCCGGUCCUGACGCGUGAGACGGCGAAAAGCGUGGGGAGCAAACAGG